GACGAACGCUGGCGGCGUGCUUAACACAUGCAAGUCGAACGGAAAGGCCCUGCUUUUGUGGGGUGCUCGAGUGGCGAACGGGUGAGUAACACGUGAGUAACCUGCCCUUGACUUUGGGAUAACUUCAGGAAACUGGGGCUAAUACCGGAUAGGAGCUCCUGCUGCAUGGUGGGGGUUGGAAAGUUUCGGCGGUUGGGGAUGGACUCGCGGCUUAUCAGCUUGUUGGUGGGGUAGUGGCUUACCAAGGCUUUGACGGGUAGCCGGCCUGAGAGGGUGACCGGCCACAUUGGGACUGAGAUACGGCCCAGACUCCUACGGGAGGCAGCAGUGGGGAAUAUUGCACAAUGGGCGGAAGCCUGAUGCAGCAAACGCCCGCGUGCGGGGAUGACGGGCCUUUCGGGGUUGUAAAACC
rnacentral:rRNA from 1 species